rnacentral:rRNA from 1 species
UAAUGCGAUCAUAUCAGCACUAAUGUACCGGAUCCCAUUAGAACUCCGAAGUUAAGCGUGCCUGGGCGAGAGUAGUACUAGGAUGGGUGACCCCCUGGGAAGUCCUCGUGUUGCAUCCC